CAAAUCGGGCGUCACAUGACGCGUGUUCUGUCAUAUGAUUGUGUGACUGACACACACACACACACACACACACUGAGUUCGAGCCCCAGCGCCGCUGCGAUCGGGCCGCGGGAGCGCCGAGCCACGCCGGGAUGGAGCGCUCCUGUGCGGCGCUUGUGGCCGCGGCCGCCGCCUGCUUCCUCGGUUUGGCCCUUAGCCAGAGCACGCUGAGUCCGGCCACGUCUCCGAGCCCCACCGCCGACGAGAACGUGAGCGCGAGCACAGCGUUUGAGCUCAGCACCACGUCCUCCAGCUGUUCUGCACUGAACACCUCCGCUUGCGCCGCCUGCGCGCCUGGCACCCGCGCCGACAACGAAACUCUGCUGUGCUCCUGCUGCUCGGACCCAGGUAUGUGUCUCCAGGAAGACGCAUGCCGACCCUGCGCUAUCGGCCACUUCCAGCCCCAGGGGGGCCAGGAGCUCUGCCUGCCCUGCUCGCAAGGAUUCUACAGCAGCUCUGUGGGGAGCAGUCAGUGCCUGGCCUGUCCUGCGGGCUCCUACAGCAACAGCAGCGGCUCCGAGUCGUGCUCCAGCUGUUCGCCAGGUUUCUAUACAUGGAAACAAAAUGCAACGUCCUGUGAUCCGUGUCCACAGGGAACUUUCUGCAACGCCUCCAACUGUACCAGUUGCCAGGUGUGUUCUCCGGGCAGCGAAUCCCUGCAGGUGGCAGCCAAAGAGUGUACACCGUGUCGCCCAGGUAUGUACAGGACGGCCGUGCAGAACUUGUGUCAGAUCUGCAGCAGUGGCUUCUUCCAGGUGCGCUGGGGGCAGGAGAGCUGUGACAUCUGCCCGGAAAACCACUACUGCCCCAGCCCAGACGUAAAUCCGGUCUUGUGCCCCGAUGACGCCUUCUGCCCCGAGGGCAGCACCUCUCCUGGAUACUGCAUGGAGACGUUCCUGCGGAAGGUGGGCCACAGGUGCGAGCUCGCACCCGUCACCAUCGCCCUGCUCGUCAUCGCCGGGGGCGCGGCCUUUCUCUUCGUCGUUGUGCUGCUGCUGCGCCGGCGAAGGGACGUGGAUCGAGAGCUGUCUCCGUCGCGGACACCGCUGCUGCGCAAGGAGCGACUGCCGGCCCAGUUCUACGGCGCAGAGCCGGUCUACGCCGGCUGGUGACUCGUACCGUCCCACGUGCACAGGCCACCUGCAUCCUCCCAGUGUCCUCCCUUCAUCCUCCCUUUGUCCCCCCAGUGUCCUCUCAAUGUCCUCUCCGCAUCCUCCCGAUGUUCCGAUGCCCCUCAGCACCACUGAAGCUCUCCAUGGUUUCCAUGGUAACCGACCCCAGGGCUGCUACAGUGUGAACCAGACGCACUUCCUGUUUGUCCCUGAAUGUUGCGCUGUCCUCGCUGGACCUCUUUUGCCGCGAGUUUGCCCAGCGGCUCCUGGCCACCGUGUCCCUGCUCGACCCUCUGCCGUGAUCCAGGCACUUUGA
rnacentral:lncRNA from 1 species